AGCUGCAGAGUCACGAUUCUGAGCUUCCGCGCGAGCCAGCAUCGGCAAGGCACAAGAAGGUGUUUGCCAGCGCCUCUUGGGGAAGAGGCAGGAGGGGCUGAAGUUCUGCAGCUUGCUCUUGACCAUCUCGACAAACAAGCGUCUCUUUAACACAGAAAGGAUAGCGACAACAUUUAGUUUAGACUUGUACUGCCUUCUGGGCCCAACAGGGAUGGGUUCUUCUCUAUGUAAGAUUUACUGAUUUGGAAUGUUGGGCCCUUUGGGGGGUCGGGCAGGGAGUGACAUUUGGCUUGCAGUAGGGGGUGCUGUUUUGGGGGUUCAAAGGCUACUACUGCUUAGGAGACUGGCAGGCUGAGGGGUCUGGCAGGAGGCAAAAUGGCUUCUGCUGGCAGCAGGGCCUCGCAGUAUGGGAGGGCAGAAGGUGGAGGUGUCCCCACAGUAUAGGUGUUAAAGAGACCACAACGGCUACCCUGUUCCUCAAGUAUUGCCUGUUGGGAAGCCACCCACACCCCAGCCUGGCAUGCUGUUCUGAUUCAGGACCCCACUGUCUUCCAGACCCUACAUCUUAGGGGUAGAAAGACCAGAAGAAAGACCCUUCAGAGGUAUAGAGGGUGCCAGGGUGACAGAGGGAGCUGCGGCUUCCUGUUCAGAGGUCAGCAGGUAAACCGAGGGGCUGCUAGGGGGAGGGAAUUCCCAUAAAGCCUUACAGAAACUCAUGCCUUCAGGGCCCUGCUCUGGGUGUUAGAAAAGGGGGAGAAAUUGGGUGAGCUGUGAACCAGGAGCCCAGUCCUUCCUCAGGGGGCUGGGAGGUGGUGGUUUAUGGAUGGUGGUUCUUGCUUUCCUGUCUCGCAAGUUUCUCAGAGACACUAGAAAUCCAGCAUACCGAGAUAUUCCUUAAAAAGUA
rnacentral:lncRNA from 1 species